rnacentral:rRNA from 1 species
AGGGGUAGCAGGGUAGCAAUACCGCUGACGACCGGCGCACGGGUGAGUAACACGUAUCCAACCUACCAUCUCUACGGGGAUAGCCUUUCGAAAGAAAGAUUAAUACCCGAUAGUAUAGCGAUAAGGCAUCUUAUUGCUAUUAAAGAAUUUCGGUGUUUGAUGGGGAUGCGUUCCAUUAGAUUGUUGGUGAGGUAACGGCUCACCAAGUCUUCGAUGGAUAGGGGUUCUGAGAGGAAGGUCCCCCACAUUGGAACUGAGACACGGUCCAAACUCCUACGGGAGGCAGCAGUGAGGAAUAUUGGUCAAUGGACGAGAGUCUGAACCAGCCAAGUAGCGUGAAGGAUGAAGGCCCUAUGGGUCGUAAACUUCUUUUAUAGGGGAAUAAAGUGCGGAACGUGUUCCGUUUUGUAUGUACCCUACGAAUAAGGAUCGGCUAACUCCGUGCCAGCAGCCGCGGUAAUACGGAGGAUCCGAGCGUUAUCCGGAUUUAUUGGGUUUAAAGGGAGCGUAGGUGGACGUAUAAGUCAGUUGUGAAAGUUUGCGGCUCAACCGUAAAAUUGCAGUUGAUACUGUAUGUCUUGAGUGUACAAGAGGUGGGCGGAAUUCGUGGUGUAGCGGUGAAAUGCUUAGAUAUCACGAAGAACUCCGAUUG